rnacentral:piRNA from 1 species
AGUAUAAGAGGUGUUUUAACUU